GAUGAACGCUGGCGGCGUGCCUAAUACAUGCAAGUCGAACGCUGGAAAUCUAGCUUGCUAGAUUGAAGGAGUGGCGAACGGGUGAGUAAUACAUAAGCAACCUACCCACGAAGACUGGGAUAAUCUCUGGAAACGGGGACUAAUACCGGCUAGGUAAUCGGAAGGCAUCUUCUGAUUAUUAAAGGUUAAAAACACUGGUGGAUGGGCUUAUGGCGCAUUAGUUAGUUGGUGAGGUAACGGCCCACCAAGACGAUGAUGCGUAGCCGGCCUGAGAGGGUGAACGGCCACAUUGGGACUGAGACACGGCCCAGAAUCCUACGGGAGGCAGCAGUAGGGAAUUUUCGGCAAUGGGGGAAAACCUGACCGAGCAACGCCGCGUGAGUGAUGACGGCCUUCGGGUUGUAAAGCUCUGUUGUAAGGAAAGAACGGUAGAUAGAGAAUAUCUAAAUGACGGUACCUUACCAGAAAGCCACGGCUAACUACGUG
rnacentral:rRNA from 1 species